GGAUAGGGGACUGUCUGACCUCUCCCAGGGAUUGUGUUCAGGGAACCCAAAGGAAUCUGGGAAGGAACAGAAAGUUACCACCUUUGACACAUGUGGCAGAGUUCUCUGGAACCUUUCCUCUGUUCCUACCACAGGAAGGCCACAGGUACCAGGGCUCUACCGGCCUAAACCAUAGUUCUGUGCUGACUGAGAGGUUCUGAAAUUAGAAAAAAGGUCUAAAUCCUGCUUCCAGGUUUUUUUGAGGUGGAGAAAAGCAGAGUGACCUGGGAGAAGUGGUUAUCAACAACACAGUGGGUGACUUCUUCCCUGGGGGCAAGCCUCACUGCUGAGUUGCUUGGAAGAGCUUGGAGAAACCAGAAGUGAGAUCCAGGAGAAGCAAGGCCCUGGAGUGCCAGGAGCCCUUUUCCCAAAGAUGGAGAAAUAAACGAAGAAAUACAGCAUUAGGAGAAACACUGGCAGAGAUUCAAAGAAGCCACUAAAGCAGAAGAAUAUGAAUGGACUUGGUCAAAAUUCGGACAAUGGAUUAUUGGUUACACAUGUUAACCAGACGCAGGACUUACUGAUGAACCUGAAGGAAAGAGGGAAAGGAUUGCUCCAACAGGAAGAUCUUACCAUUCUCUAUGCAAAUGAACUAGUUGAAUUACAUAAUCAGCAUGGC